GACUAACAAUAGAGCAUGAACACUAUUACACUGUAAAAAGAGAGAUGCCCAAUAAGUUAUCAUAACUUGUUUCUAUUAUUUGCUUCCACUCAAAAUAACACAUUAUACAAUUUCAAUUUUUUUUCAUGAGUUUUUGGUGUUGCAACUCAAAGUUUUGAGUAAGUUGAAUGAAAUGAAUAUUUGAAUGUGUCAAAAUAACUCAUCAAUAUGAGUUUAAAAAAUAGUGACCGGAUCAAACUGGAUCUCAAAAACUCACGAUGGUGGCAAAAUUACUGCGCGGUACAAAGUAGUGCUGAGAAAUUGGUCUUAAUCUGAUAAACGGCUGAUAAUUAUGAUGUAAUUAUGUAACAUUUGAGGACGUGCUCCAAGAUGUUGUAUUUGCCCGUUAAUAUUAAAAUAGCAACAUCAGUUUAGCACACUGAGGACGGUGAAAAGAGAAGCGGCGGAGGAAUACUUUUCGUCAGGAGCAUUAGCAAGCUGUAUUGGGUCAAAGAGCUGUUCGCCUGAGGAGUAGAUGAUGCAGUAAGAUGCAGUUUGAUCAUUGAACUUUGGCUACAACUGUGGAUGAAGUGGAGUUGUCAAAGACCACAAUGCUUAUGCGAGUCAUUGUGUCCGAAAAAGGGAUCAGACGUCUUGCAGUUGAGGACAUCCCUGGAAACAUCGAGGAACUGAACCAGGUACUGCGAACCAGCCUUGGUCUGAGAGGGGGAUUUAUCUUACAGUUUGAGGAUCCAGAUUUCAACAAUCAGUUGUGCAACCUAACAGACAUCAAAGACCUUCCUAAGGAGCGAGCGACUGUAAAAAUAAUAUUCACAGCAGAUAACU